ACAUGCAAGUCGAACGAACUCUGGUAUUGAUUGGUGCUUGCAUCAUGAUUUACAUUUGAGUGAGUGGCGAACUGGUGAGUAACACGUGGGAAACCUGCCCAGAAGCGGGGGAUAACACCUGGAAACAGAUGCUAAUACCGCAUAACAACUUGGACCGCAUGGUCCGAGCUUGAAAGAUGGCUUCGGCUAUCACUUUUGGAUGGUCCCGCGGCGUAUUAGCUAGAUGGUGGGGUAACGGCUCACCAUGGCAAUGAUACGUAGCCGACCUGAGAGGGUAAUCGGCCACAUUGGGACUGAGACACGGCCCAAACUCCUACGGGAGGCAGCAGUAGGGAAUCUUCCACAAUGGACGAAAGUCUGAUGGAGCAACGCCGCGUGAGUGAAGAAGGGUUUCGGCUCGUAAAACUCUGUUGUUAAAGAAGAACAUAUCUGAGAGUAACUGUUCAGGUAUUGACGGUAUUUAACCAGAAAGCCACGGCUAACUACGUGCCAGCAGCCGCGGUAAUACGUAGGUGGCAAGCGUUGUCCGGAUUUAUUGGGCGUAAAGCGAGCGCAGGCGGUUUUUUAAGUCUGAUGUGAAAGCCUUCGGCUCAACCGAAGAAGUGCAUCGGAAACUGGGAAACUUGAGUGCAGAAGAGGACAGUGGAACUCCAUGUGUAGCGGUGAAAUGCGUAGAUAUAUGGAAGAACACCAGUGGCGAAGGCGGCUGUCUGGUCUGUAACUGACGCUGAGGCUCGAAAGUAUGGGUAGCAAACAGGAUUAGAUACCCUGGUAGUCCAUACCGUAAACGAUGAAUGCUAAGUGUUGGAGGGUUUCCGCCCUUCAGUGCUGCAGCUAACGCAUUAAGCAUUCCGCCUGGGGAGUACGGCCGCAAGGCUGAAACUCAAAGGAAUUGACGGGGGCCCGCACAAGCGGUGGAGCAUGUGGUUUAAUUCGAAGCUACGCGAAGAACCUUACCAGGUCUUGACAUACUAUGCAAAUC
rnacentral:rRNA from 1 species